GCAUGCGCGAAGCGUGACAGGGGAUUCUGAGUGGUUCCGCUGAGGAAGGCUUUUUUUUUUCUAGAACGCUGGGGGAAUAAGGAGAGGGCAAGUCUGGUGCCAGCCGCCGCGGUAAUACCAGCUCUCCGAGUGGUGUGGAUGUUUAUUGGGCCUAAAGCAUCCGUAACUGGUUAAGUUAGUCCCUUGUUAAAUCCACCGAAUUAAUCGUUGGAUUGCGGGGGAUACUGUUUGGCUUGGGGACGAGGGAGGGCGAAGGUAUUUCCGGGGUAGGGGUGAAAUCCUGUAAUCCCGGCAAGACCACCAGUGGCGAAAGCUGUCUGCUAGAACGCGCCCGACGGUGAGGGAUGAAAGCUGGGGGAGCGAACCGGAUUAGAUACCCGGGUAGUCCCAGCUGUAAACGAUGCAAACUAACUGUUUGAACGCCCACGUGCCGUUCUAGUGCCGCAGGGAAGCUGUUUAUUUGCCGCCUGGGGAGUACGAUCGCAAGAUUGAAACUUAAAGGAAUUGGCCGGGGAGCACCCAGAAUUGAAACUUAAAGGAAUUGGCGGGGGGAGCACAGAGCACAACA
rnacentral:rRNA from 1 species